rnacentral:rRNA from 1 species
GUGGGGAAUAUUGGACAAUGGGCGCAAGCCUGAUCCAGCCAUGCCGCGUGAGUGAUGAAGGCCCUAGGGUUGUAAAGCUCUUUCACCGGUGAAGAUAAUGACGGUAACCGGAGAAGAAGCCCCGGCUAACUUCGUGCCAGCAGCCGCGGUAAUACGAAGGGGGCUAGCGUUGUUCGGAAUUACUGGGCGUAAAGCGCACGUAGGCGGACAUUUAAGUCAGGGGUGAAAUCCCAGAGCUCAACUCUGGAACUGCCUUUGAUACUGGGUGUCUUGAGUAUGGAAGAGGUAAGUGGAAUUCCGAGUGUAGAGGUGAAAUUCGUAGAUAUUCGGAGGAACACCAGUGGCGAAGGCGGCUUACUGGUCCAUUACUGACGCUGAGGUGCGAAAGCGUGGGGAGCAAACAGGAUUAGAUACCCGGGUAGUCC